AUAAAAAUGUCUGUUAAAUAUUAAGCACAGGUUCUUCCUGCAUCUGUUGCUAGGAUUUCGGAGAUGUCUGAAUUUGAAGCAACGCCAAGUUUUGCAAACUGCAAAAUACCUUUUUUGACAUAUGCAACAGCACUACUGACGUGGCUUCCCUCAAAAACGGAAAUCUACUACUACUCUCUGAAACUUCUGGAGACAUGCAGUAGAUCAGCUAAAAUUUCAUAAAUUAUUUUACACACUGGAAGUCUACAACAGGUCGCGGGGCUGGGAAUCCAUCGGUGCUCCAGUUGAUUGAAAAGCAGCAAAGAAAAAU